rnacentral:rRNA from 1 species
AUUGAACGCUGGCGGCAGGCCUAACACAUGCAAGUCGAACGAGUGGCGGACGGGUGAGUAAUGUCUGGGCAACUGCCUGAUGGAGGGGGAUCACUACUGGAAACGGUAGCUAAUACCGCAUACCAUCAGAUGUGCCCAGAUGGGAUUAGCUAGUUGGUGGGGUAACGGCUCACAAAGGCGACGAUCCCUAGCUGGUCUGAGAGGAUGACCAGCAAGACUGGAACUGAGAAACGGUACAGAGUCCGACGGGAGGCAGAAGGGGGGAAUAUUGCACAAUGGGCGCAAGCCGGAUACAGCCAUGCCGCGUGUAUGAAGAAGGCCGUCGGGUUGUAAAGUACUUUCAGCGGGGAGGCGUUACCCGCAGAAGAAGCACCGGCUAACUCCGUGCCAGCAGCCGCGGUAAUUC